ACUGUUUCCAACUCAGCUUCCCACAUACACAACCCCCAUGCUGGAUCUGCUGCACUCCAAAGCAUGUGAGUGACAACAGGCUUGGCAGCCCUUGGGGUGGUGAAAGAUCUGGCUAGAGCAAGCCUCCCCAGCAUGCUCAUCAGCCUUAAGCAAUCAUGUCUGUGAUCAUGCUGCUGAAAUAAGGAGAUUCUGAAAGACCAGCAGACUGAGAGACAGCUGAGAUGGAGCCAUGGCUAUUUGUCUCUAGGUAAGAUAUCC
rnacentral:lncRNA from 1 species